GGAAAUGGGCUCUGGUUUUGCUGUCCCUGAGAGGAGGCAGCAUCUGGGGGGUGGUAUCCAGCAGGCAGACGCCGCUCUGCUGCUGUGGGGCUCUGGGAGCAAGCAGAGCAUUCCUAGGCACCAGUGGAGGGGAGAGACUGGAAGAUCUGGGGCUCCCUGCAGCCCCAGACUGUCCCACCAGAAUUCCACGCUGGAAGCCCCUCUUGCAUCACCAGGCCUGUGCACCCUUGCUCAGGACAAAGUGUUGGAGGGCAUCUCCUCCUGGAAAUGUUUGCAGGAGACACAGGAGUACAGGGGCUCCUGGCACCUGUGACCCUCUGCCCGGUGGCAGCGUGAGAACACCCUGAGGACCUCCCUGUGCCAGGACAUCUUUCUUUGCACACAGGGCCGUGCAGUGGUGGAAGACUGCUUCUGUCUCCACCUAAUGCCCCAUUGCUCGGGUGUCUCUGUGGAAGGGUCCUGGGGAGCUGCAAGGGGAGUAGAUGGGGCUCAGCUCCAGAUCCAGCAGUGUGGGGUGGGUAAAGAGCACAAAAAGGAGCCCAGGACUUGUGCUGCUGUCUGUACCCCCCCAGCCCUUAUCACAGCCCACAGCAGGGUGGCCAUGGUUGGGGGCUGAUAAAGGAAAGUCUGGGCUCUGCUCCAGCUCUGGGUGUGGUGGGAGACUGGGCAACAGAUAGUCCCAGGAGGCUACAACCUGCCAGGUGCUGAGUAAGGGCUGGAAGGUCUUUAGUGAGGGGGGAAGGUUCAAGGAAGCCCCAGGGUGGCUCACAAAGCCAGCUAAGGUUGCCACAAGGUCCUUUGAUCCUUGGCAUUGGCAAGGAUGGACUCUUCCCUAGUCCCAUGGCCUCCAGGCACUGUCAGUGAAUGCACAGAAACAGGAGAAACUCCAAUGACUCCAAAGAGAGAAGGAGGCCCUUCAGACCCUGGGGUUUCUUCUGCAGUGCACCUCAGGCAUCAUGAUCUCACAUGGCCACUGUACUGGCACCUGUGACCCACUGGGCAUGAUGAGGAAGGGAGGAGAAAGCUGCACAUGGCAUCCCUGGGCAGUCUGGUCUCCCUUUGUGCAGAGCAGGUGUUGGAGCAGGUUCCACCCCUCCAACCAGGAACAUCACCCAGGCAGAGCUGUGGGCACAACUUCCCAGGGAUCUCAUGGAGAACCAGGAUAUGGUGGGGACUCAGGGCACACAGGUGUGCAAGGAGGUGUGAACUGGUGUGGAAAGCGUUGGGAAGAGCCAGCAUCAAAUCCAGCACGGGCUUGGACUCCUGCUAACUCAACCACUAAGGGCCCUCAAGGUCCUGAGCAUGGACGCAGCCUGCCCACGGGACAGACACGCUGGCCACAGCUUGGCGCUCCCUGAGCUGGCAUCCCUGCCCAGCUGCCUUGGGACCCACCAGCACCACAGCAGCCACGCUCUGGAGCGGGGCAGGUCAAAUAUUUGCCCCAGGCUGGUUUUGCAGCUGGCUUUGCUGCAGCUCCAGUGCUGAGGAGGGAGUUGGAGGCAACUUCUGCAUUGCCACAGCAGCAGCAGCAGCCUGAAACAGCCCCAGGUGACGCUGAGGAGGUGGAUUUGGAGACAAAGUCCCCUGAUCCAGGCAGCACUCAGGAAGCCGAGUCACACCAGGCAGCUUCAGCAGAAGAAGGAAGAUGAAUAUCUCCAGGUCAUGCCCGUUUUGAUGUCUCCACUCUCUGCAGGCCUUUCUCAGCUCUCAUUUAUUCUUGAUGGACAAAGCACCCAGGGUUCAAAGAUACCCCAGAACAGCACAGUGUUCUCUCCUGUGAUGUCACCACGGCAAGUGGCAUCUCAGAGCUCAUUUUUAUUGAAAGAGGAGCUAAAAUGACAUCAGGAAAUGAGCUUGAUGGUUAUGACUUACCUGAUCACAGCACUUUCACCCUCCUCUUGAGGGGCUGCAAACAGCAUUGUCCAGGUAGUUUGGAUUCUAAUUAUUAUGUUGGAUAGUCAUGGCCCUAGAGAGGGUGUCCUGGAAAGGGACACAAAAACGUACUUCUGGAGGAGGUCAAGCAUCCUAGGGGAGUUUAACAGGAAUUCUCCAUGAAUUUUCUAUCUUCCCACUGCUUCUCUGCUAAAAUUUGAUCUAGCAAACAGGCAGUGGAAAGAUGGAGAAUUAAUUCCUCACUGGAAGGUGAUCUUAGGAGAGCAGCUGAACGAUCCUUUUGCUGGAAUGAGGAGGGAAAACAUCAUGUGUUUUACAAACUGUUCUUGUUUCUACAUCCCAUAUUGGAAUUCAAUAUGGCAAUAGUGUAACCCGUGAGUGGUGCAGCCAAUAGGUCUUCUGCUUCUUUGCUGUGUGUUUGGACAGCCACUCUUUCCUAAAUGUCAGAUUUUCCCUGCUGAAAUGAUCUCUCUGAUUUGUCUGGAUCCUUUUGGAUUUUAAGCCAGUGUUUGCAUCCUCUCCAGCUCAGGAACAUCUGAGAACUUAAUAAGGACAUUCUCCACUACAACACAAGUUAUUGAUGACAGAACAGUGAAUAAUAAUGGUAAACAAAGAACUGGAAUCUGUCAAAGAAGGAAAACAGACUCAUCUGAAAGGAUUCAUUCCUGGCAAUGGCCAUGAUUAUUACUCAUCUCUUUCUUUGAUUAAAAGUCCCACUGUUUGGCUUUUUUUAAUUGAAGCCGACUGGUUUGUAGUUCCUUGGUUUCCUCCUUUUACCCUCCUAAUGAUAAGAGACACGAUGGUCUCGUUUCUGUGACCCCAUCCCCCUCCCUCUUUUCCCAGAGAUAUUGCAUGUUUGGAGGUGGCUUCCAUCAGUUUUUGAGGUAAAGGGGAUUUUUUUUUUCAGGCAAGCAGUCUGAAAAUAAGGAAUGAUUGAAAUAUACUUUAAUUCAAACUUUUUGGGAUCCUCCCACCUCCUCCACUGGCUGUUUUGGCAGUGGAAAAAGGAAAAGUGGUAGAAGACAGAAAAUGAGCAUUGAUUAGAUUUUCACUACAAAGAUGGAAAUUGAAUAGAAAUGCAAAAAUUUUCUUCCUGCUGGUUGCCCUGUCUUCCCACCACACAGCAACCACCUGGGAGAUUGAUUUUGCUUGGAGAUGAGAUGAUAGGCAAUGCUCUGCUGGUAACAUUAGUAAUUCCUCUCUCCCUGUGUUGUUUUUCUGUAUUUUUCAGCAGCAGGAGAUACCAUCUGGGGAGGGCACAGCUUUGGUUGUGUUCCUCCAGCUCCCACACAAGCAGUAAUAGCAAUUCCAGAGGGUACAUCCCUGCCUGUUGCCUUCAGCAUCUGUCUGUUGACCUGCUGCUGCUCCUCAUGAAUUUGCUCUACCUUUCAUAAACCUGCUGAUCCUAUUUGUUUCCACAACCUCCUGUGGCAGUGAAUUCCAGAAGUUCAUUCUCCCACCUGCUCCAAAUAAAGCCCUUUUUAUCCAUUUG